rnacentral:rRNA from 1 species
AUACGGAGGGUGCGAACGUUAAUCGGAAUUACUGGGCGUAAAGCGCGCGUAGGCGGUUCGGUAAGUGGGAUGUGAAAGCCCCGGGCUCAACCUGGGAACUGCAUUCCAAACUGCAGGACUAGAGUAUGGUAGAGGGAGGUAGAAUUUCCUGUGUAGCGGUGAAAUGCGUAGAUAUAGGAAGGAAUACCGAUGGCGAAGGCAGCCUCCUGGACCAAUACUGACGCUGAGGUGCGAAAGCGUGGGGAGCAAACAGGAUUAGAUACCCCGGUAGUCC